GCAUAUCAAUAAGCGGAGGAAAAGAAACCAACAGGGAUUGCCCUAGUAAUGGCGAAUGAACAGGCAAAAGCUCAGAUUUGAAACCCUCGGGAUUGUAAUCUGGAGACGGCGAUCUGGCAUGCUGAGCAAGUCUUCUGGAAUGGAGCGCCAUGGAGGGUGACAGCCCCGUAGCAGCAGCCACAGUAGAUCGGCGCCGAAGAGUCGAGUUGUUUGGGAAUGCAGCUCUAAGUGGGUGGUAUGCUCCAUCUAAGGCUAAAUAUUGGCGAGAGACCGAUAGCGAACAAGUACUGUGAAGGAAAGAUGAAAAGAACUUUGAAAAGAGAGUGAAAAAGUACGUGAAAUUGUUGAAAUGGAAGGCAAUGAGGUGCGAUUGAAGCGGGCGUUUGCGGGCAGGACAAAAGCACAGGCCGCUUCGGCACUGCCUGUGUGCAUACUGCCUCGCGGA
rnacentral:rRNA from 1 species